UGGUAAAAGCUAAGGGGCAAGACUGUCUUGAAAACAGUUGACGGGGGCUCACGACCCCCUUUACCAG
rnacentral:tRNA from 1 species